UGAACAGGGGCCGAUCAAUGACACCAGGAGCUAAUUACCAGAAUAUUUUGCUAUUUUUUUCCCCUAACAAAAUGCAGGUUUGAGUCUGGUCAGGCCCUUUAAAGUGGAAGUGGGGGAUGAUGGUUCUUGGUAGUUUGUUUAUCGGAGUGCUGGGGCAUCCAGCAUUCUGCCACCAGACCACACCCCCACUGCUUCCUUGGCACUUUUUCUAAUGUUGACUAAUUUCCCUGUAGCCUGCUGUGUUGAGGGAUGCCCCUAUCUUACCCCUAUGUAGCUGAAUGUUGGAGUUGCCUGCCUGGCUCUUCCUCCCCAACCUCCUACUCUUUAGAUGUUGCCUUGUCAGGUCUUCCAUUACAGUUUCCAGGAGGACCUCCUCCACAAUGUCCAAAGCUGAAAAGCCAUCUCCCCACCCAGCAACUUUUCAAUUUCCCAACUUCCCAACAUCCCCUGGAAGCUCCUUAGUUCAUGUCCAGGUUCCCACUUCGAAAGCCAGAGCUUAGCAUCACGAGGUUAUUCCAAUCCCAGAGCUCUUAGCCAUCAACAGCAAGCCUGCUUCUCCCUCCACCCCUCUCUCCAUGCCCCCUCAUCCCUCAGCCACAUCAGAGACCCACCAGCCUGCCUAUGUUAUGUCAGUGUGGAAGGCCAGGGCAGAAUUCUGAGACUCGUGCACUGAUGUGGGACCUCACCAGUACUCUAAGACCUUAAUUCACAUCAAUGGGUCAAUGUGCCCUUGACUCUCGGACUUU
rnacentral:lncRNA from 1 species